UCGAUACGGUCAGCGGCAGUUGAUAAAUAACUUCGUAGAGUGCCUUGUACAACUGUUUUUAGGGAAAUGUCCAUCGAUGUUUGAGAAUGUCCCGUUCAGCAGAAACUUGGCCAAGAGGAGGCAAUGCUGCAAUAAAAUUGAUGCUCAACCUUUUACUAGUGUCCGAAGAAUAGUUUAUACAUCUUACCUUUAAAUCAAGACAUGAAUUUGGUUAGUAAUGAUAGUAAAUCAAUGGAUUUACCAAAUAAUAUUAUUUAGUGAUGAAGCCUCAUUCAAGCGAAACGGUAUCAAUAAGACUAGGAAUUGACCUUGUUGGGCACUUGAAAAUCCACGGCAAACUCAGCGAUCCCAUUUUUAAGAUAGAUUGUCGGUAAAUAUUUGCUGUGGCGUUUAUCAUCUCGGAUUACUGAUUCCCUUAUUAGUCAAAGGUAAAAACUUGAGUUGCGGUUAAGAUUGUUAGGUCGCUAAUAUAUUGUUGCUUGGUGGUAAAGUUGAUUACAUGAAAAAAUUUUAGUUUUAUCGAAUUAAAUUUGAUGUCCUGUUUUAUGAUUGUGUUCGGCAACUGCUGAUGGGUUUAUUUGUCUUGUUCUUAAGGCUCCUUCGUGUUCUUUGAGCCUAGUUGAUAUUUUUCGUCCGGUCUGGUACCAUAAACUCCUGAUAUCUCAAACGGAAUUUUGCCAUUAAUGGAUUGAAGAGGUUGAGACAUUUUUAGACAAACUUUGUGACAAGUGUCGAGUUGCUUUCGGACUCAUUGUCUUUGGAAGGUUGUGGUGGAGUGUAUUUUGUGAUGGAACGCGUAAUAUCUCUAUCUGGGUUCAGUGACUAGGGUUGAGAUAAUUUUACGGCUCUGUAAACGAGAGAGUUCAUAACGGAUAAUUUUUGAGCCAGAUGGUGAUGUGACAAUGCAAUAAGAUAUCUGUCUCUGUGAGUAGGUUUUCUGUAAAAAAAGGAAUGGGAGGACUAUUAGUAGUUUCUAAUUAAAUGUUAGAUGUUACACGUAUGUUAGGGUGUAUAGAGUUUAAAUGGCUAAGAAAAUCUCGGAGGGAUUCUUGACCAUGAAGAAAAAUAUCAUCAACGUUCCAUAAUUUUGGUUUUAGAAUGAAUGUGUCGAGAGGUUUCUUCUCAAAGGAUUCCAUAAAUGUAUUCGCGAUUACUGGUGAUAAUAGAGAAUCAUAGCUUCUCCCGACGUUUAUUGAAAAACUUGACCGAAGAAAAAUAUAUUCUUGACAAGCAAUUAUCAGUUAAAACGAGAAGGUUUAGUUCCAGAUUCUGGGAAUAGGGAGUUUAGUAAAGAGAGAUUCUACAUUGAAACUAAGCAGAAAGUUCUGUGGAUUAAAAGCAAUGAAAGGAAUUAAGUACGAAACAACCAGUUUUCUCUGUAAAGGGUUAGAAGCUAGACAUUUUGCUAGAGUAUAUGUUGGAGAACAAAUGGUGCUGAUAAUAGGUCGAAGGCGUAAUCUUGGUUUAUGAAGGUAGUCCGUAGAGAUUUUUUUCACCGAUUCUGAUAGAGAAGAAGUCUUAAUAACAGAUUUAAGGUUGCGUUCCGUAGAUCUUAUUUAAGCUGACGAUAGGAUCGGUCUGUAUGAAUAUCUUGAAUAUUUUCUUGAUAUUCAUUUGUGUUUUGUGUGUGUUUGCGUUCAUGACAACCGUAGCAUUUGCUUUAUCUGCUUUUAGGUUUACGAUGUCGGGAUUCCGUUUUAAGUUUGCUGGCUACACUAGUGUGGACGUAAUUUUUUUCAAAUUUUUGAAUGAUACUCUGGGUAGAAUAAGAUAAACGAACAUUUUCAUAAAUUACGUUUAAAAGGGUAUCGAAACCGGAUGGGAACAAGAUGGAAGCAAUUUCUAGAUGUAGAGAGAAUAA